CCUACGGGGGGCAGCAGUGGGGAAUAUUGCACAAUGGGCGCAAGCCUGAUGCAGCCAUGCCGCGUGUGUGAAGAAGGCCUUAGGGUUGUAAAGCACUUUCAGCGAGGAGGCGUUACUCGCAGAAGAAGCACCGGCUAACUCCGUGCCAGCAGCCGCGGUAAUACGGAGGGUGCAAGCGUUAAUCGGAAUUACUGGGCGUAAAGCGCACGCAGGCGGUUUGUUAAGUCAGAUGUGAAAGCCCCGAGCUUAACUUGGGAACUGCAUUUGAAACUGGCAAGCUAGAGUCUUGUAGAGGGGGGUAGAAUUCCAGGUGUAGCGGUGAAAUGCGUAGAGAUCUGGAGGAAUACCGGUGGCGAAGGCGGCCCCCUGGACAAGCUGACGCUCAGGUGCGAAAGCGUGGGGAGCAAACAGGAUUAGAUACCCUUGUAGUC
rnacentral:rRNA from 1 species